rnacentral:lncRNA from 1 species
AGAUGAAAAAAGCAUACAAGAGAAGUCAACACUUGUGGUGGACUGGUUUUGAAGAACAGAUUAUUCAUUCACUUUGACAUCUGCUCUAGAUUUGGAUUUGGCUUGCUUGAUGCUGGACGAUUAAUGAAGGAAGCCCUAACUGGACAAAUGUUGGUCUCCUGAGACAAUGUGUUGUUGAUAACAGAAAAGGAUUGACAAUAAGAUGUGGAUGUUCAUCUUUAAUGAACUUUAGUCACCAAGUGGAAGCCAGCUAAGUUUGAUGAUGCAAUUGACCACCUUCUCAGCAACAGCUGAAUGUUUGCUCCUCAAAAGAGUAAGAGCAAGCCUGUUAACUGCAAAUGUGAAGAGAUGAAGCAAGCAAAAAAGAAAAAGUGUGAAGAGCUUUGCUGCCACAUCAUCCCGGUAUCAGAUAGUUUUGGGAUCAAUGAACAGGUAUGUAAAAGGGACUGUUAUUCUACAGAGAAGGGCUAUUCCAGAGAAAUGAAGGGGGAAAAAUUAAAAGGCAGUACAUUGUCACUAUAUGAUGACAAUAUUAGAGAAAGAAUUUCAUUUGUCUUCUUUUAA